CUUGGACGGAAUGACCUGGGAGAUUCAGGAGUGAAACUGGUGUCUGCGGCUCUUGGGAACCCGGAGUGUAAAAUACAAACACUGAAUCUGAACCAUGUCGAACUUACAGAUUCUGGUGCUGAGGAUCUCGCCUCCGCUCUCAGUACAAACCGAUCACUGAUAGAGCUGGACCUGGGAUGGAACCCGCUCACAGACCAGUCUGUCCCUGCUCUCCGCCGGCUCAUACUGACCCACCCGAGUCUGGAGCAGAUCAUGCUGGCGGUGAAUAAUUUCAGUGGGACUGGGGAGAAUGAACUGGAGUCUCUACAGGAGUCUAGACCCGGACUGAGAGUGUACCUGUAAACGUCUGAAUGUGUGAAUAUACCCGUCCACAAGAUGGAGACAAUUUGGCCGAUACCACCCCCCCCCCCCCCUUAACUCCCGCCCUUAUCUUUCCGCACUCCAGAAGCAAUUCGCAAGGGUUCAGAAAUGACCCUGGAUCUGCGGUGAUCUGGGACACGGCCCUGAAGUGUGAUUUGAUAAUCAUCAGUUCCGUGAUGCAGAGUGACAGUGAGAAACGGGACUGAUUAUUCAAACUGCCCCUGGUUGUCGCCGGUCAGUUAAUUGUGUGUGACUGUGAGUGAGUCGGGAGCAACUCAUUUAUUCCCGAACGUCAGCAGCUCACAAAUCGUUUAAUUUACAUUUGUCGAUGAAAUCAAUAAACCACUGUAACAUCCUGUCUUCGUUUCGGACGAGUUUGAUUUGAGGUUUCUGCUGUC